CUACGAAGGUCCCAAGCGUUAUUCGGAAUCACUGGGCGUAAAGAGUACGUAGGCGGUUUGGUAAGUCAGGUGUGAAAUCCCGGAGCUCAACUCCGGAACUGCAUCCGAUACUGCCAGACUUGAGUAAUGGAGAGGCAGGUGGAAUUCUCGGUGUAGCAGUGAAAUGCGUGGAUAUCCAGAGGAAGACCAAUGGCGAAGGCAGCCUGCUGGACAUUUACUGACGCUGAGGUACGAAGGCUAGGGGAGCGAAAGGGAUUAGAAACCCCUGUAGUCC
rnacentral:rRNA from 1 species